rnacentral:lncRNA from 1 species
UUCUUGGAAUUUCUGGAUGAGCUUCAGGUUUUGUAAUAGAAAAAGUGAUUUCAGCCAUACUUUCUACAUCUGGGACAAAAGAAACAGCCUGAGAACCUGAUCCUGAGCCCGCUAAGUCCUUGGAAAGAACUCUGCAGUCCAUGUUGUCCCCAGCUUGGUUGGUUGUCCUUGCAUGAUUAAGAGAUUCAGCAAUGAAAAACAGAUGAAAGUAAGUUUUAAAAAAACUUAAUUAAGUAAAAAAAAAAUACUAAAAUAUAUAAUAAUAAUAAUAAUAAUCCUAAAUGAGAAAUAACUAUCCAUGGCUAUCAGGAAUGACCUUUCUCUUCAACUAAUAAGAAAAACAGUUUCAUAUGAUAAUAGCAAAAUAUAAUAAAAUUUCC